UACGUAGGGUGCGAGCGUUAAUCGGAAUUACUGGGCGUAAAGUGUGCGCAGGCGGCAGAGCAAGUCGAGUGUGAAAGCCCCGGGCUUAACUUGGGAAUUGCGCUCGAAACUACUUUGCUGGAGUGUGGCAGAGGAAGGUGGAAUUCACGUGUAGCGGUGAAAUGCGUAGAGAUGUGGAGGAACACCAAUGGCGAAGGCAGCCAU
rnacentral:rRNA from 1 species